AUUGAACGCUGGCGGCAGGCCUAACACAUGCAAGUCGAACGAGUGGCGGACGGGUGAGUAAUGUCUGGGAAACUGCCUGAUGGAGGGGGAUAACUACUGGAAACGGUAGCUAAUACCGCAUCCCAUAAGAUGUGCCCAGAUGGGAUUAGCUUGUUGGUGGGUUAACGGCUCACCAAGGCGCCGAUCCCUAGCUGGUCUGAGAGGAUGACCAGCCACACUGAAACUUAGACACGGUCCAGACUCCCACGGGAGGCAGCAUUGGGGAAUAUUGCACAAUGGGCGCAAGCCUGAUGUAGCCAUGCCGAGUGUAUGAAGAAGGCCUUCGGGUUGUAAAGUAAUUUAAGCGGGGCGGCGUUACCCGCAGAAGAAGCACCGGCUAACUCCGUGCCAGCAGCCGCGGUAAUUC
rnacentral:rRNA from 1 species